UUUCAGUUGGGAGGUACCUACAAGGACUGUCUUGCCCAGCUGCCUGACCAGUUCAGCACUGACCACAUAAAAGCAUGUUAUUGAGGGCAUUGUGCAAGUUCCUUUCUAAUAAGGUUUGGGGCAUUGAUCUUCUCUCUAGCAAGCCUGUUCCAGUGUUUGACAAUGCUCUCAGUAAAGAAAUGCUUCCUUAUGUCUAGUUUGGACCUCCCCUCGUGCAGCUCUGAAAUAUUUCCACAUGUUUUAUCACUGGAUCCCAGGGAGCUGCAGGGAGCAAUGAGACUUGUUCAUAUGCCCUGGGACAAGACUGGAUGGAAAGGAAAAUGUAUUCCAGUCUUGGAAUGAAAGAUUUUACAACAGAACCCAGUUAAAAGAACUGCAAGACAGGAAACUGUAGUAUUUCCCAUCCCUGGAAGUCUUCAAGGCCAGGUAGGAUGGGGCCCUCAGUAACCUGAUCAAGUGGGUGACACCCCAGCCCAUGGUAGACAAUC
rnacentral:lncRNA from 12 species